CGGACCGGUCCGCAGGCCCGAAAAAAAAUACGAGACGGGCCAAGAGAGUGACGCCUCCAUCGUCACUAGAUCGUCGAAUUGCUUCUCUCUUGCUGCCUCCAUCGUCGCAGACUUGCAGACGCAGUGGUUCAUCGAUUUUCUUCUCUCCCUACUGCCUCCAUCACACCGCCAUGACAAGUUGGUGCCACCGGAACAACAAGGAUCGCGUCACCAGACCAGAUCUUCAAAUUUCUUCUCACUUGUUGGCUCCAUCGUCGCAGCUCGCAGACGUAGUGGUUUGUCGAUUUUCUUCUCUUUCUGCUGCCUCGAUCGCACCACCGUGACGAGUUGGUGCCUCCAUCGCACGCGCACCGGUGACGACGGUGCUGGACUACAACUCGCGAUUUCCCUCGUAGACGCAAUGUUUCUUUCCCUCGCAGACACAUAGUUUCUUUCCCUCACAUCUGGACUGCAACUCGCUAUUUCCAAACACCAUUGCAUCAAAUCCUUUCCGAUUGACAGUAAAUUGAGCGGGGUUUUACCGGAGUAGGGUUUUUCUUCCAAAUUGGGGAUUCAAAUUUGUGGCUAACGGGCUUUUGCGAAAUUGAGAGCAUUGGAUCUCGGAUCGUUAACAAAUAUAGGAGUCGACUUUUGCCCGAGAAUGUGGAAUCCAAUAUUUGCAUUUCUAGUUGGAAGCAUGGUUUUGUUGAGGGUAAUUAUUUGAUUCUUACUUGAUAUUACUUUUAUUGUGAUUUCAUUCAUACAUAUUAAUUACUGUUUUUGUUUAUAUGUAUGCACAUAUGACGUAGAAGAAAUUGUCAACUUCCAAAAUGUGGAGCUAAAUGAAGGGUCCUCUGUUGUUGUUGCAUCAAAUGUUAUAACCGUGGGAGCUGAAGAACAAUAGAAUACCACCAUCUUUCUUGGAUUGUUUUUUUUAUUUGCACCAUCUUUCUUGGACUAUUUUUUUAAUUUGGACUAUUGUGUUGUUGUUUUGAUGUUUUUUAUUGAACUUGAUACUCCAAGACUUGAUUUUAUAGAGUGUUUUGUUAUGUUAUUUAUUGCAAUUGUCCAUGACCUAUUUUUUUAUGAUUUUAUGAUGUCCAAGAUCUAUUUUAAAA